AAUGACGCCAGCAUAGGGCGAUACCCGUCAAGCCCUUGUCGGGACCCAGUUGCAGGACGUCAUGUGUAUUUGGGUGGUGGGUCCCUGUGGGAGGUAACCCUCCCUCACCUGGAGGGGCACAGGGGCAGCAAGGCUGGGCUCAAGUCCUUCAUGGCCACUGGAUGAGCUUUGUGGGCAACUGCUGAGCUCCACGUGGUCCACAGGCAAAGCAGCGGGCAGAUAGCACACGGGGACUGAGAAGCAUAGGCGUCCUGUCUCACACCCCUUGUGGUCCAUAGGCAAAGCAGCGGGAACAUAGCACAUGGGGACUGAGAAGCACAGGCAUCCUGUCUCACACCUCUCAUGCUCCUGGGUCCGUGGUAGCCCACCCUGCACUUGCUCUCCUGGACCUCCGUCCAGAGCUCAGGGCCACGGCUGAGAUGGCAUCCGGUGACAAAGUAAACAUGGUAUGGGGUUGUAUGGGGUUAAAAUCCCAAGGAUAGAAUAAACAUCCACGAGCCCACA
rnacentral:lncRNA from 10 species